AACGAACGCUGGCGGCAGGCUUAACACAUGCAAGUCGAGCGCAUCCUUCGGGGUGAGCGGCGGACGGGUUAGUAACGCGUGGGAACGUGCCCUCUUCUACGGAAUAGCCCAGGGAAACUUGGAUUAAUGCCGUAUACGCCCUUCGGGGGAAAGAUUUAUCGGAGGAGGAUCGGCCCGCGUUGGAUUAGGUAGUUGGUGGGGUAAUGGCCUACCAAGCCGACGAUCCAUAGCUGGUUUGAGAGGAUGAUCAGCAACACUGGGACUGAGACACGGCCCAGACUCCUACGGGAGGCAGCAGUGGGGAAUCUUGGACAAUGGGGGCAACCCUGAUCCAGCCAUGCCGCGUGAUCGAUGAAGGCCUUAGGGUUGUAAAGAUCUUUCAGCUGGGAAGAUAAUGACGGUACCAGCAGAAGAAGCCCCGGCUAACUCCGUGCCAGCCGCCGCAGUAAAAC
rnacentral:rRNA from 1 species